GUUCUUGGUGUGGAAUCAGAGUGAUACUCUACCUACCCACCUCCACUUCAUCUGACAUGAAUAGAAGUAUCUAACACAGCUCUGAACUCAGGAAGUAUUACCUGGUUCUAUAUGCAACUGAGAUAAAGUGGAAUUAAUUUCCAAGGCCAUACCAAAGAAUCUUUUACAGGGUAGGUUGCAGAUUUGCUCCAGGGCCUUUGUUAUGAGUUUAUUACUACCAAAUUUCUAAGAAUCUGUUAAAUUAGUAGCAUUACAAAAUUUCUGCUUGAUCUUUUUAACUUCUUCUUUAUGGGCAGAAAAUCUGAAUCAAAGUCACACUGUCUCCUCCUGUUUGUCAAGUCUGCAAGUACUAAUUUAAGUGAUAACUACAAGAGCUGAAGUAGUUGCCUGUGAGACAGCAACUUUGAAAUUUCACAACAGUACUGUUUCAAAUGUCACACUUGUUAACUGUUGAAGUAAAGAUUUCUAACUUCUUCAUCUAUGGUAGAAAAACCCUGUGAUUUUGCAAUCCGGUAUCUUUUGCAUUAACACUGAUGUAGUAUGACAAGUUUCCUGAGGCUUAUAGACUCCGGCACUUGUCUGGAUUUAAAAAAGGAGUAACCCCCUAACCCAUCCUUGACAAGACAGUUUGUAAUUCUUUCAGGAUUACAGGAAGACUGCUUGUUCUAAACGGAGAUUUCAGGUGAUACUCUGAAAGGAUUCAGAAUGGCCACUAACACUGUAUUUAGAGAGAGAACUGGGAUUUUCUUCGAGAAUAGUUUUGCAUGGUCUCUUCAUCUUCCUGAUAUAUGGGGUGUACAACACAGAGGUAAGUCUGCUUGGAGUAUCUCAAGGCUGACAGAGUGAAUGAGAGAAAUGACAGGUUUCUUAUCUUGAUAACUGAGGGACAAAGUUGGCUUUCCAUAUGAGUGUCCUACUGCCCUUCAUGCUUGGACUAGCUUAUAUGCAUCCCAGCUUACCAUUAAACACAGACACCCUCAAUAAAGGGACAGACUCAUUUCUCAUAGGCAUUGACUAAUAUUUUACUGCUGCUUUAAGUUUUUUGAAUUUCAGGUCUGCCUUUUAACACUUAGCUAAACCUGACAGUCCAAACUUUCAUCAUCUAAUCUACAUUUUAAAAUGAACUGUGAGUUUACAUGCUAAUUAAGCUCUUUCAGUUAUAACGGGAACAAAUUUUACUUACUUCAAAAUUUUGCUGGGUA